rnacentral:rRNA from 1 species
GAGAGGGAAGAAAAAAAUGACGGUACCUCUCGAAUAAGCCACGGCUAACUACGUGCCAGCAGCCGCGGUAAGACGUAGGUGGCAAGCGUUACUCGGAAUUACUAGGCGUAAAGCGCGCGUAGGCGGAAUGUUAAGUCUGUUGUGUAAUCUCUGGGCUCAACCCAGAAACUGCAACAGAAACUGGCGUUCUUGAGUGAGGCAGAGGAAAUCGGAAUUCCUAGUGUAGCAGUGAAAUGCGUAGAUAUUAGGAGGAACACCGGUGGCGAAGGCGGAUUUCUGGGCCUUUACUGACGCUAAAGUGCGAAAGCUAGGGGAGCAAACGGGAUUAGAUACCCCGGUAGUCCUAGCCGUAAACGAUGAUAACUAGGUGUGGGAGGUAUCGACCCCUUCCGUGCCGCCGCUAACGCAUUAAGUUAUCCGCCUGGGGAGUACGGCCGCAAGGUUACAACUCAAAGGAAUUGA